rnacentral:rRNA from 1 species
UACGUAUGGGGCGAGCGUUGUUCGGAAUUAUUGGGUGUAAAGGGCGUCUAGGCGGGAGAUUAAGUUAGAUGUGAAAGGCGUGGGCUUAACCCACGAAUUAGCAUCUAAAACUGGUUUUCUUGAGUUCGGGAGAGGAGAGCGGAAUUCUUGGUGUAGCGGUGAAAUGCGUAGAUAUCAAGAAGAACACCAGUGGCGAAGGCGACUCUCUGGCCUAGAAUUGACGCUGAAGCGCGAAAGCGUGGGUAGCGAACGGGAUUAGAUACCCCUGUAGUCCCUGAG